AUGUUAGAUGUCUGAGGGGAAGGCUCUUCUAGUACGAGAGGAACGAGGGGUCGAGGCCUCUGGUGUACCGGUUAUCUGAUAAGGUAGGCCGGGCAGCUACGCCUUAAACGAUAAGAGCUGAAAGCAUCUAAGCUCGAAACGUACCGCGAAAAGAGACAUCUUAGAACGCCCAUAAAAGAUGGGUUUGAUGGAACUGGCGUGUAAGCACCAAGGCAACGAGGUGUUCAGCGCGCAGUCCCCAAUUGUUCAUACUUUCUGUUGC
rnacentral:rRNA from 1 species